CAGUCCAAGACAUAUUCUUCUUCCCGCACCAAAUGGAAUCAACUCAAAAUCCCGGCCUUUGACAUCAAUAUCACACCCCAAAAACCUCUCAGGUACGAAUGCAUUUGGGUUCGACCAAGUGCUUGGAUCUCGACCGAUAGCCCAUACAUUAACUAGUACUUGGGAAUUCUUUGGAACUGUGAAGCCGCGUAUUUCUACAUCAGAUUCAGCUUUAUGGGGAGCUAGCAGUGGGCCUGGUGGGUGCAACCUAAAGGUCUCUUUGACUAUGGCUUGAAAGUAAGGGAGCUUUGAGAUGUCUGAUUCUUGAACUAUCCCAUCCUUGCCAAGGACUUCUUGGAGCUCCCUUUGAGCUUUUGCCAUUUUUUCCGGGUUGUGUAGUAGCUCUGCCAUUGCCCACUCUAUUGUGCCUGAAGUGGUGUCAGUUCCCGCAAGAAAGAGAUCCUGAUCACACAAAGCAGCGUUAGAAUUAAGGUUCCAUUGAUCAUCGUUUACAAAUAUGCAGUUACCAACGUUUCCUACACGAAAUCUCAAGAAAAAUUGUACAAGAAAUAACUACAAGGAAGACUAACUUCUAAUUGAUUGUUUACUCAAGUGUUUAGGUCAAUUUCAGUUUAAUAACUUAACCAAUUUCACAGUUAAAAGUUAAAAGGAAAUGCAAUUGCAGGUACAUAAUAUAGAUACUUCAGUGGAGAAGUUACCAAGGAUUAGAUAGAAUGAUUUAUAAAUUAUUCCAAAAGUCACUAAAGCCAUUCUUCAUCAAAAUUAGGUUGUAGUUCAGCUAAAAGAUUGAGAAAUUCAAUCUUCUCGUGUGUGUAUAUAUAGGUGUUACUAUUGAAUGAAAUCCAUAUAUGCAGGAGGCAUUUAAAUAAGGAACUUAAAUUAUUCCAUAAUAUAUAUGAACUAGAUUCUUCAAUUCCAACGAAAGAGUAAAUCAUUACAAAUAGUAUCAUAGUCAACCUCAUUGGAGGAGUUUGUUUGGUCUUGCAUAAAUGUCUUAAUUUUGUAUAAUAACUACAACAUGGGAGGAAAGGUGUGGGUCUUAUAGUUAAAAGAUGACCAUACAAAUGUAUUUUGAAGCAAAGAUUGAGAUUCAAGAAAGCCAUGUCACUUUCUUGAAUUCCAUAAAAUAGUUUUACAUCUUUUAUGAAGUAAGCUUAUACUCUAAAAUGCAAUGUAAUGAAUGCAAAAGGUAGUUAAUAUGAUAUCUCAAAUCAAAGAAAGGAAAAAGUUUUAAUGCUAUAUAUGUUUGGAUUUUUUUUAAUUUUGUGGACGCGUUUUAAAAUCGUGAAAAAACAAUUGUUAUAAAUAAUAUCAACCCCAAGGUAAAGUUUGUUUGGCUAUAUAUGCAAGGGGUGUCUAUUUCUUGGCACUAUAUAUAUCUUAACUUUGAAUAAUAUCUUCAUGGGAAGGAGCAGGGCUCUAUCUACUGACACUAUAUAUAUGUCUUCACUUUGUAUAAUAUCUACAUGGAAGGAAGCAACGAAUGUAUGAGCUCUUUUUAACCUUGUAAAAAAUAAUAUCUACUUAGCUUGUAGACUACGAUAUCUACUUGAGAGGUACUAGUACAUCGUAUCAAAUGUAUAGUGAAGCAAAGAUUGAGAUAUGGUACUCACCAUAAGCAAAUGUAUAAUAUCUCUGCAGCUCCACUCUUGGUUAUUUUCUUCUGUGAGAUUGAGGAAGGCAUCUAGUACAUCGUUGCUUGCUGAUGAAGCUUUUGAUUGCAACCUUUGAUUGAUUAUACCUUCAAAAAUAUGAAUCAAUUUAUCGAGAUGAAUCUUCAUGUUUUGCUGUAUACCUUGUGGGUCAAUCAAUUUAAAGGCCGGGAAAUAAUCUGCAAAAUUGGGUCUUCCAGCGUCUUCCAUCACACGCCAUACAAUAUCCUUGAACUCUUGUGAAAAAGUAGAGGCGUGAUGAACCAAAUUAAUGGAGAAAAUGGUGUUUGAUAACAAAUUAAGGCUUGCUGUGAAGGUUGCUGCACCAAUAUCGACUGCACAACCCCUACCGCAACAUUCUUCCGCAUGGUCCAGCAGUUCCUGUACUAUUUUUCUCCUAAGGCCUUGGCUGGCUUCAAGCCGCUGCACCGAAAACAUUUCCCUGGUGCAUAUCUUCCUAAUCUUUCGCCAAUAAGCAGAUGCCGGACUCCAUACUACCGAAGAUUCAUGAUGGUUAUGGGCUUUGACGGCAUCUAGAACUACUCGGCCAGAGAAGGCUUGAUUAUUUCUGUGUAGGACCUCUUUGGCAGUUUCAGAAGAGGAAAUGACUAUGGUGGAAACACUCCCAAGCUUGAGAGACAUUACAGGGCCAUAAGUUUUGGAGAGAUUUGUAAGAGAUUGAUGAGGUUUGUCCCCAAGUUUGAGGAUGUUGCCGAUGAUUGGAAAGGGGCGGGGGCCUGGAGGGAGGCUGGCUGUACUGGGUUUCCGGCCAGUUGGACUGAGCUUGAGGAGAUGAAUGCAGGUCCACACAAAGGAAAGCAAAAGCAAAACUGUAAUGUAAUCCAUCGGCUAUCCCUUUCAAUACUACUCUUCUAUUCUUGAUGCUCCGAUUCUCCCCAUCUUCUGUGGUAUUUGUAUAGAAACAUGAGGACCAUGAACUGCUUAUCAACAAAUUAAUCACGGUUAUUUUGGUAUUUGUAUCAAAUGAAUUUAGUUUUUUUUGCCAAAUGCAUAAAUUAGGUUUUGAGGAGGCACUAAGAAAUGGAUGGCUUUUGGACAUUAAAGUGUCCAAAAGUAGGUAAGAAAUUAAUAAAUUAUUGAAAUCCAAGGGAAAAGUAGGUAAGAAAUUAUUGAAAUCCAAGAGACUUGUAAAAUUUGAAUUCUAAUAUCCACACGUGAUUUCCGUGUAUCCUACUCGACCAUGAGACUUGCAUGACUUGGACUCAACCAUCUAAAUGGAAAUUGUUUGAGAUUUAAUUAAUAGUAAAAUCCUAUUUCUUUUUUUUUUAUUGACAAUACUAAAAAUUUUAUUCAACAUAAAAAAAAUUUGUAUAAGACAAAAUAAAGCUUUGACAAGAAGAACAUUUUAUUAACUUUCAUAUUAAGUUUUUAAAAAAUCUUAAAUAAAUUAAUUAAGCAGCCAUAAAACCUUUUAUUGAACUUUAAAAAAGGUUUUUCUCUUCUCAUAAAUCAAACCAAGACAUAAACAUUUUAUGGAAAAACUUGGAAAAGUAGGUUGAUAUAUUUGAUUUGUGAACAUAACAAAAUUGAAUACAUAAAGAUGAAAAGUUAAGGUUUAUUUGGUUUUUCGAGAAUAGUAUUCAAAAACAUUUUCAAUCAUUUGAUAUAUAGUAAUGUUAUCGACUUUUUUUCUACAUUUUUAAAUAUUUCGUAAAAAUAUUUUUGAUAUAUAGUAAUUUAUUUUCAAUCAUUCUUCAUAUUUAUAUAUUUAUUUUUACACAUGAUUCCAAAAAGGCAAAAAAUAAGGGAAAAUAUUUCUUUCAGAAAUUAGAAUAUAAGUGAAAAUACCCUCUUUUUAAAAAAAAAUUACUAAAUUAAUGUAGUUUUUGAAUUGUAGAGGGGACCAACCAAUUCCUUUUCUGAUAGGGUUUACCUUUUCAAGCCCUUUUGAAUUGUAUAUUCAUUUUUCCAAACAUCUUUGUCUCGGCUCAUUUAUUUCAUAAACAUUUUUGUUUCAGUCGUCUGAAAAUGUCUACUCUGUUAUUGUUCCAAGUUCCUACAAUCAAGACACUACAUUAAACCAUGAUUUGGAUGACCCCGAUGACAAUAUUCAUAUUUAGUUCUUUCUUCUAUAUUGUAGAGCAAGACUACUAAAACUUCUAUCCACCCUUUUAGCUGUUUCUGAUUAAAGUGAUACAACAGAGAAAAAAACAAAUAUUUUGAAAAACUUGGGUGGGUAUUAGGUAAUGAUAGGGUAGAUAAACAACAUAGAAGUUACAUUCAUUACAACAUAAAAAUACAAUCAAACUUUGAUGGGAAUAGCCCGUAGAGGCUGGGCCUUCUGUAAUGUAAAUCCCAACUUCUCAUUCAUGUCCAUAUCUUCUGGUUUCAUACCAUCGUCAAGCUUCCAAGCAUAGGAAUGAAGAAGAGAGGCCAAUAUCAGGUGCACCAUCCUAUGAGCUAAUGGCAGUCCAAGACAUAUUCUUCUUCCAGCACCAAAUGGAAUCAACUCAAAAUCUCGGCCUUUGACAUCAAUAUCGCACCCCAGAAACCUCUCAGGCACGAAUGCAUUCGGGUUCGACCAAAUGCUUGGAUCACGACCGAUAGCCCAUGCAUUAAUUAGUACUUGGGAAUUCUUUGGAACUGUGAAGCCGCAUAUUUCUACAUCAGUUUCAGCUUUAUGGGGAACUAGCAGUGGGGCUGGUGGGUGCAGCCUAAAGGUCUCUUUAACUAUGCCUUGUAAGUAAGGGAGCUUUGAGAUGUCUGAUUCUUGAACUAUCCCAUCCUUGCCAAGGACUUCUUGGAGCUCCCUUUGAGCUUUUACCAUUGUUUCCGGGUUGUGUAGUAGCUCUGCCAUUGCCCACUCUAUUGUGUCUGAAGUGGUGUCAGUUCCCGCAACAAAGAGAUCCUGAUUAUACAAAGCAGAGUUAGAAUUUAGGUUUCAUUGAUCAUAGUUGGCAAAUAUGCAGUUACCAAUGUUUUCUACAUGAAUGGAAAAGAAAAACUGUACAAGAAAUAACUCCAAGGAAGACUAACUUCUAAUUGAUUGUUUACUUAAGUUUUUAAGUUAAUUUCAGUUUUAUAACUUAACCAAUUUCACAGUUAAAAGUUAAAAGGAAACGCAAUUGCAGGUACAUAAUAUAGAUACUUCAGUGGAGAAGUCACCAAGGAUCAGAUAUAAUGAUUUAUAAAUUAUUCCAAAAGUCACUGAAGUCAUUCUUCAUCAAAAUUAGGCUGUAGUUCAGCUAAAAUAUUGAGAAAUUCAAUCUUCUCGUGUAUAUAUAUAGGUGUUACUAUUGAAUGAAAUCCAUAUAUUCAGGAGGCAUUUAAAUAAGGAACUUAAAUUACUCCAUAAUAUAUAUGAACUAGAAGUGAUAUCAAAAAAAUAGAAUUCAGAAAAUAGUUUAACAUCUUUUAUAAAGUAGGGUUAUACUCUAAAAUGUAAUGCACAGAAUGAAAAUGAUAGUUAAUGUGAUAUCCCACAUCGGAAAAAAGAAAAAGUUUCUAACAUUGUAUAUAUGGUUUCUCUUAAUCUUAUAGAUGUAUUUUAAAGCCGUGAAGAAAUAAAUUUAUUACAAAUAGUAUGAGCUAGUCGAUCUCCAAUCCCAAUGAGGGGAGUUUGUUUGACCUUACAAAAGAUAUCAUUUGUUUCACCUACAAGGGAUCUUAACUUUGUAUAAUGCCUACAUGGGAGGGUGCUAUAUGUGUGUGGACUUGCUUGUAGAUGACAAUAUCUACUUGGGAGGAAGGAAGUUGGUCCUUAUAGAAAGAUGAUUAAUACUAAUAUAUAGUGAAGCAAGGAUUGCGAUAAGGCACUCACCAUAAGCAAAUGUAUAAUAUCAUUGCAGCUCCACUCUUGGUUAUUUUCUUUUGUGAGAUUGAGGAAGGCAUCUAGUACAUCGUUGCUUGCUGAUGAAGCUUUUGAUUGUACCCUUUGAGUGAUUAGACCAUCAAAAAUAUCAAUUAAUUUACCAAAAUGAACCUUCAUGUUCCGCUGUAUACAUUGUGGGUCAAUCAAUCUGAAGGCCGGGAAAUAAUCUGCAAAGUUGGGUUUUCCAGCUUCUUCCAUCACACCCCAUACAAUAUCCUUGAACUCUUGUGAAAAAGUAGAAUCAUGAUGAGCCAAAUUAGUGGAGAAAAUAGUGUUCGAUAACAAAUUAAGGCUUGCUGUGAAGGUUGCUGCACCAAUAUCGACUGCACAACCCCUACCGCAACAUUCUUCCACAUGGUCCAGCAGUUCCUGUACAAUUUUUUUCCGAAGGCCUUGGCUGGCAUUGAGCCGCUGCACCGAAAACAUUUCCCUGGUGCAUAUCUUCCUAAUCUUUCGCCAAUAAGCAGAUGUCGGACUCCAUAUCACUGAAGAUUCAUGAUGGUUAUGGGCUUUGACAGCACCCAGGACUUCUCGGCCGGAGAAGGCUUGAUCAUUUCUGUGUAGGACCUCUUUGGCGGUUUCGGGAGAGGAAACGACUAUGGUGGAAAUACUCCCAAGCUUGAGAGACAUUACAGGGCCAUAAGUCUUGGAGAGAUUUGUAAGAGAUUGAUGGGGUUUGUCCCCAAGUUUGAGGAUGUUGCCGAUGAUUGGAAAGGGGCGGGGGCCUGGAGGGAGGCUGGCUGUACUGGGUUUCCGGCCAAUUGGACUGAGCUUGAGGAGAUGAAUGCAUGUCCACACAAAGGAAAGCAAAAGCAAAACUGUUAUGUAAUCCAUGGCGAUCCCUUUCUAUACUACUCUUCUAUUCUUGAUGCUCCCUUUCUCCCUAUCUUCUGUGGUAUUUGUAUAGAAACAACACGACCAUGAACUGCUUAUCAACAAAAUCAUGGUUAUUUUGGUUUCUGCGUCAAAAAUAUUCAAACUUGAAAAAGAGAGACUUGUAAAAUUUGAAUUCUAAUAUUCAUACUUGAUUUCCAACCAUAAGACUUGUAAGACUUGUACACGACCAUCUUGAAAAUGUGAAUCUCAAUAAUGGACUACACCUAGAGGGGGUUGAAUAGGUGUUGUAGAACAAUUUAAAAAUUCUCCCAACAAAUAUUACCUAACCUUAGACUAUCUUAAUGUCAAGAAACUUUUCUUCCAACAACUUUUCAACAAAACAUAACAUCCACAAGCAAAAAUAUAUGCAACAACACUCUCCCAACAAUUUAUCAAUGUAAAACACAUGCAAAUGCUUCAACACUCCUCAAAAAUAAAUCAAAAUGUAGAGUGAGAGAAAGAGACAAUGAACACCAGAUUUUUAACGUGGAAAACCUCCGAAGAGAUCAAAAACCACGGGCCUAUCAUCGAUUGAAAAACUCCACUAUGAAGAAUAAAAACUAAGUACAAGGUUUUACCUAGGGUCAACCAAUCCUUCCCGAACUACUUGACUAGUACCUUCAUUUUCAGUUUCUCCCUUCUUCUUUCGGAGCACACUUGGAGUCCGCACCAAGCUCAAUCCCGGCCUCUUCUUGAAUCCACACAAGAAGAAAAUGGGUAUGUACCCAAACCCAAAUAGAAUGAGAGAUUGAGAUGUGAAUAAAGGAAUGAAUCAACCCAUUUAUUGCUCAAGAAAACCCAUUAAAAACUUGUUUGGAAAACAUUAAAAGAAGUGGAUUUUCUUUGCAAUCAAAAACCCCAAAUUAGGAAAACAAAAUGAGAAAAUAAAGAACACAAGGAGUGUGGCUGCUCUCUCCACGUUUUCUGCAACCACAACUCACAAAAAUGAGAGAAGAUUGCUUUUUAAAGUGUAAAAAAAAACCCUUAAUCUAAUGGCUGAGAUUUGAUCAAAAAUGAAUUAGUUGGAUUGAUCCACCCUUGCACCUGGAUCGAUCCAGAAACAAGGGAAUGAAAGUUUUGCACCAAAAACCAUUUCUCCCAACUUUCUAACACAUUUAAAGAUUAAAAACCAGGUUGAUUCACAUCCAAUCACCACACACUCGGCUACAUACCUUGGUCUCUUAGCAAAGUUUUAGUCUUCAAAGUCAAGUAGUCCGAAUAGGAAUUUGAAAGCCGAGUUAAGGGAUACUUAGGAAUUUUGUUCGGAAUUGCCAACCUAGCUAAACACUCACACAUCUAAAUGGAAAUUGUUUGAGAUUUUAUUAGCAGUAACAUUCUAUUUUUUCUUUAUUGACAAUACUAAAAAUUUUAUUCAACGAGAAAAAUCUCUUGUAUGAGGCAAAAUAAAGCUACGACAAAAGUAACAUUUUAUUAACUUUCAUAUUAAGUUUUUUUAAAAUCUUAAAUAAAUUAAUUAAGUAAACAUAAAACCUUUUAUUGAACUUUUAAAAAGAAAGUUUUUCUCUUCUUAUAAAUCAAACCAAGACGUAAGCAUUCUAUUUGAAAAAGUAGGUUGAAAUAUUUGAUUUGAGAACAUAACAAAAUUGAAAACAUAAAAAUGGAAAAUUAAGGUUUAUUUGGUUUUUUGAGAAUAGUAUUCAAAAACAUUUUUAUUGAACUUUCAAUGUUCUAAGUUUGAGAACUUGUAAUGUUAUCAACUUUUUUUCUACAAUAUUUUUAAAUAUUUUUUAAAAAUAAAUUUAGUUUCCAUCAUUCCUUAUAUUUAUAUAUUUAUUUUUUCAAAAGAUUCCAACAAGACAAAAAAUAUGGGAUCAUAUUUCUUUCAGAAAUUAGAAAAUAAGUGAAAAUACCCUCUCUUUUUUUCAGAAAUUACUAAAUUAAUGUAGUUUUUGAAUUGUAAAAGGGACCAACCAAUCCCUUUUCUGAUUCGGUUUGCCUUAUCAAGCCCUUUUGACUUUAAACCGGUGGUAACCGAUGAACCGUCCAGUCUGUCGAAGUAGCCCAUAGGGUAAAUUUGUCAAAGCAUUGUAUGGGCCAUAAAUUAUGCCUCACUUAUUUCCCAGCUUUUAUAUUCGUUUUUCCAAACAUCUUUGUCUCAUCUCACUUAUUUCAUGAAUAUUUUUGUUUCAAUCGUUAAAAACGUUAGCUCUGUUAUUGUUCCUACAAUAAAGACACUACAUUAAACCAUGAUUUCAAUUAAUCAUUCGAUGACUCCGAUGAGUAUAUUCCUCUUUAGUUCUUUCUUCUAUAUUGUAGAUCGAGACUACUAAAAAUUCCAUCCACCCUUUUAGCUGUUUCUGAGGCAAGUGACACAACAAAGUAAAAUCAAAUAUUUUGAAAACCUUGGGUGGGUUUUAGGUGAUGAUAGGGUAGCUAGAUAAACAACAUAGAAGUUACAUACAUGAAAACCUAAAAAUACAAUCAAACUUUGAUGGGAAUAGCCCAUAGAGGCUGGGCCUUCUGUAACAGGGUUCAAAAUCUCGGUCAAUACCGGUACGACUCGACUGAGUCAUAUCCGCCUCGAUCAUGGCUAGUACCGGACCAAUACCCGAGUUGGAUAUUUUGUUAGCUUGUGAACAAACUCAGUGGAGUAGAAAUAGUGGAGAAGAUGAGAGGAUCAAAACCCAUGAAAAUGAAAAAUGCAGAUUACAGAGAGUUAGAACACUCCAUCUUGGAGUCGCCGGCGAGGUCGAAGAAGCACGCUUGCUUGUUCGGAUCCCCCAAGUUCCCACCGGAGAUGAAACUGAGCGACAUGAGGAGAAGGUAGAGUCGUCAGACUCUGGCACCGCUGUUGUCGACGAAGAACGAUGGUGAGGUGGCUGAUGGAAGUGGGAGAAGAGAGAAAGUUGGCCUACAGAGGAGCUGCCUGAGACUUGUGAGUUUAGAGGAGAAAGGGAUGGGUGUUUGACUGCCAGUUGAGGGUUAUGGAUAAAGAUGAGGAUUUGAAUUUUAAAUAGUAUGUAUUUGUUUUUUUUAAGUACAUAAUGAAUAUUUGAUGGGGAUUUGGACUUUAAAUAAUUUGAUGAAAAUUAUAAUGAUAAAAAAUGAAUAAUGAAUAAUGAAUAUUAGACUUAUAUCAAAUAAAUAGGAAAUGAAUAUUUAUAUAAAAAUUAAAAUUAAUGAAUAUAUUUUAUAAAAAAAAAUUAUAUUUAUUUUUUUAAAGAUGAAUCAUGGUUUUAUUUUUUUAAUAAUUAAAAAUAUAUUUUUAAAAAAUCAAAAUAUUUAAUUUAAAUAAUUUUUUAUAAAAAAAAUUACUUUUUAUUAUUUUCAUCUUCAAUAAGAAACAUUUAUUAUCAAGUGAUUAAAUUAAAAUAUUUUUAGAGAUUUCUAAUAGUAUUAUAAAUCAUCCCAAAAUAUGCUUUUAUUAUAAUUUGAAUAAUUUGAAUAUAAUAGAAGUUUAUUUUAUUAAUUUUUUACUCUACUUAUUUGUAUUUAACUUUUUAAAAAUUUUUAAAAUUAUUUUGAGCUCUUAAAUUAGAAUUUUUUGCGUAUCACCCAAUAUCGAUUUGAGAUAUCGAGACCGAUGUGCCUCAGGACUUCCCAAGUCAAUGACCGAUACUGCGACUUUAAACUAUGCCUGAGACUUGUGGGUUUAGAGGAGAAAGAGAUGGGUGUUUGACUGCCAGUUGAGGGUUAUGGGUAUAGAUGAGGAUUUGAAUUUUAAAUAGUAUGUAUUUGUUUUUUUUUAAGUACAUAAUGAGUAUUUGGUGGGGAUUUGGAUUUUAAAUAAUUUGAUGAAAAUUAUAAUGAUAAAAAAUGAAUAAUGAAUAUUAGACUUAUAUCAAAUAAAUAGGAAAUGAAUAUUUAUAUAAAAAUUAAAAUUAAUGAAUAUAUUUUAUAAAAAAAAUUAUAUUUAUUUUUUUAAAGAUGAAUCAUGGUUUUAUUUUUUUAAUAAUUAAAAAUAUUUUUUUUAAAUCAAAAUAUUUAAUUUAAAUAAUUUUUUAUAAUAAAAAAUUACUUUUUAUUAUUUUCAUCUUCAAUAAGAAACAUUUAUUAUCAAGUGAUUAAAUUAAAAUAUUUUUAGAGAUUUUUAAUAUUAUUAUAAAUCAUCCAAAAAUAUGCUUUUAUUAUAAUUUGAAUAAUUUGAAUAUAAUAGAAGUUUAUUUUAUUAAUUUUUUACUCUACUUAUUUGUAUUUAACUUUUUAAAAAUUUUUAAAAUUAUUUUGAGCUCUUAAAUUAGAAUUUUUUGCGUAUCACUCGAUACCGAUAAGAGAUACCGAGACCGAUGUGCCUCAAGACCUCCCGAGUCAAUGACCAAUACCGUAACUUUAAACUAUGUUCUGUAAUGUAAACCCCAACUUCUCAUUCAUGUCCAUAUUUUCUGGUUUCAUACCAUCGUCAAGCUUCCAAGUAUAGGAAUGAAGAAGAGAGACCAAUAUCAGGUGCACCAUCCUAUGAGCUAAUGGCAAUCCAAGACAUAUUCUUCUUCCAGCACCAAAUGGAAUCAACUCAAAAUCUCGGCCUUUGACAUCAAUGUCACACCCUAAAAACCUCUCAAGCACGAAUGCAUUCGGGUUCAACCAAAUGCUUGGAUCACGACCAAUAGCCCAUGCAUUAAUUAGUACUUGGGAAUUCUUUGGAACUGUGAAGCCGCAUAUUUCUACAUCAGUUUCAGCUUUAACAAGAACUAGCAGUGGGGCUGGUGGGUGCAGCCUAAAGGUCUCUUUAACUAUGCCUUGUAAGUAAGGGAGCUU
rnacentral:lncRNA from 1 species